rnacentral:rRNA from 2 species
AGACCCGAAACCCGGUGAUCUAGCCAUGGGCAGGUUGAAGGUUGGGUAACACUAACUGGAGGACCGAACCGACUAAUGUUGAAAAAUUAGCGGAUGACCUGUGGCUGGGGGUGAAAGGCCAAUCAAACCGGGAGAUAGCUGGUUCUCCCCGAAAGCUAUUUAGGUAGCGCCUCGUGAAUUCAUCUCCGGGGGUAGAGCACUGUUUCGGCUAGGGGGCCAUCCCGGCUUACCAACCCGAUGCAAACUGCGAAUACCGGAGAAUGUUAUCACGGGAGACACACGGCGGGUGCUAACGUCCGUCGUGAAGAGGGAAACAACCCAGACCGCCAGCUAAGGUCCCAAAGUCAUGGUUAAGUGGGAAACGAUGUGGGAAGGCCCAGACAGCCAGGAUGUUGGCUUAGAAGCAGCCAUCAUUUAAAGAAAGCGUAAUAGCUCACUGGUCGAGUCGGCCUGCGCGGAAGAUGUAACGGGGCUAAACCAUGCACCGAAGCUGCGGCAGCGAACGUAUCACCCAAGACAACUUUACGGAGUUGACGAUUGACGGAGCGAAGCGACGUCAAAGCGUUCAUUAAAGUCGAGUUGGCUUAGGGAUACGUUCGUUGGGUAGGGGAGCGUUCUGUAAGCCUGUGAAGGUGUGUCGUGAGGCAUGCUGGAGGUAUCAGAAGUGCGAAUGCUGACAUAAGUAACGAUAAAGCGGGUGAAAAGCCCGCUCGCCGGAAGACCAAGGGUUCCUGUCCAACGUUAAUCGGGGCAGGGUGAGUCGACCCCUAAGGCGAGGCCGAAAGGCGUAGUCGAUGGGAAACGGGUUAAUAUUCCCGUACUUGGUGUUACUGCGAAGGGGGGACGGAGAAGGCUAUGUUGGCCGGGCGACGGUUGUCCCGGUUUAAGCGUGUAGGUGUGUGUUCCAGGUAAAUCCGGUUCACUUUAACACUGAGGCGUGACGACGAGGCACUACGGUGCUGAAGCAACAAAUGCCCUGCUUCCAGGAAAAGCCUCUAAGCAUCAGGUAACACGAAAUCGUACCCCAAACCGACACAGGUGGUCAGGUAGAGAAUACCAAGGCGCUUGAGAGAACUCGGGUGAAGGAACUAGGCAAAAUGGUGCCGUAACUUCGGGAGAAGGCACGCUGACACGUAGGUGAAGUGAUUUACUCAUGGAGCUGAAGUCAGUCGAAGAUACCAGCUGGCUGCAACUGUUUAUUAAAAACACAGCACUGUGCAAACACGAAAGUGGACGUAUACGGUGUGACGCCUGCCCGGUGCCGGAAGGUUAAUUGAUGGGGUCAGCGUAAGCGAAGCUCCUGAUCGAAGCCCCGGUAAACGGCGGCCGUAACUAUAACGGUCCUAAGGUAGCGAAAUUCCUUGUCGGGUAAGUUCCGACCUGCACGAAUGGCGUAAUGAUGGCCAGGCUGUCUCCACCCGAGACUCAGUGAAAUUGAACUCGCUGUGAAGAUGCAGUGUACCCGCGGCAAGACGGAAAGACCCCGUGAACCUUUACUAUAGCUUGACACUGAACAUUGAGCCUUGAUGUGUAGGAUAGGUGGGAGGCUUUGAAGUGUGGACGCCAGUCUGCAUGGAGCCGACCUUGAAAUACCACCCUUUAAUGUUUGAUGUUCUAACGUGGACCCGUAAUCCGGGUUGCGGACAGUGUCUGGUGGGUAGUUUGACUGGGGCGGUCUCCUCCUAAAGAGUAACGGAGGAGCACGAAGGUUGGCUAAUCCUGGUCGGACAUCAGGAGGUUAGUGCAAUGGCAUAAGCCAGCUUGACUGCGAGCGUGACGGCGCGAGCAGGUGCGAAAGCAGGUCAUAGUGAUCCGGUGGUUCUGAAUGGAAGGGCCAUCGCUCAACGGAUAAAAGGUACUCCGGGGAUAACAGGCUGAUACCGCCCAAGAGUUCAUAUCGACGGCGGUGUUUGGCACCUCGAUGUCGGCUCAUCACAUCCUGGGGCUGAAGUAGGUCCCAAGGGUAUGGCUGUUCGCCAUUUAAAGUGGUACGCGAGCUGGGUUUAGAACGUCGUGAGACAGUUCGGUCCCUAUCUGCCGUGGGCGCUGGAGAACUGAGGGGGGCUGCUCCUAGUACGAGAGGACCGGAGUGGACGCAUCACUGGUGUUCGGGUUGUCAUGCCAAUGGCACUGCCCGGUAGCUAAAUGCGGAAGAGAUAAGUGCUGAAAGCAUCUAAGCACGAAACUUGCCCCGAGAUGAGUUCUCCCUGAGACUUAGAGUCUCCUGAAGGAAC